GGGUCUAGAGACUAAGCUCUAGAGGAUAAAUUAAUAAGAUAGUCGGGCCGCUAUCU
rnacentral:ncRNA from 12 species